UAUAAAUUUGGUUUUGGUUUUAAUUUGGUUUAAACUAGCGAAAACACAUGAUAGUUUUGUCGAAACUGUAAAUUAUAUAUCUAUUAUUUUUUUUUAAACAAAAAAAAUGAAUAGAGGUUAUUAUUAUCAAAGAUAUUGAUGACAGAAAUAUUUACAACAUCAGUGUAAGAUUUUAAUAAAUAAAGAAAUUUUGUAUUAGGUAUAGUUGAGAAAGGUAGUUAAGUUUGUGCCAGCAGCUGCGGUUAGACAAGAAGCUUGAAUCAAAUGUAAUCGGUAAAAAAUAGUUAUAUGAAUUGAAAGUUGUUCUUUGCAUUAUAUAAAAGUAAAAUUUUAAUAUGAUAGUGAAGUCGAAUAGUUGUAACUAUUAUAAUAGAGGCUAUGAUACUUUUGGUUAAAACUGGGAUUAGAUACCCCAUUAUUAAAAGACUAAAUUUAUUUACCAGGGGACUACGAGUCGUGGCUUAAAAUCCAAAAGACUUGGCGGUGCCUUAAUUUCUGUCCAGGGGAACCUGUCAUUUAAAUCGAUAAUCCGCGUUAAACCUUACUUUAUUUGUUUAUUAUAUCAGCUUGUAUACUGCCGUCAUCAGCUUACGCUUUAAGGCUUUUAAUAGUUAGCUAAAUUAAUUUUGGAUUUUUAUGUCAGGUCAAAGUGCAGCUUAUAUUGAAGUAUAGAUGGGUUACAAUUUGAAUUUAAAUUUCUGUAGUUUUAUUGAAAUAAAGAUGAACGAUGGACUUGGAAGUAAUAUUUGUUUAGAACAAUAGUAUGAAUAUAGCACUAAGGUGUGUACAUAUCGCCCGUCGCUCUCUUAAAUAAUAGGAGAUAAGUCGUAACAUAGUAGGGGUAGCUGAAGCUGUUCCUUAAGAUAU
rnacentral:ncRNA from 1 species